AUACUUACCUGGCAGGGGAGAUACCAUGAUUAGGAAUGUCCUUUCCCCAGACAUAGGCUUAUCCAUUGCACUCCGGAUGUGCUGACCCUUGCGAUUUUCCUAAAUGUGGGAAACUCGACUGCAUAAUUUGUGGUAGUGGGGGACUGUGUUUGCGCUCUCCUCUG